rnacentral:rRNA from 1 species
UGUGUACCCGCGCGAGACUUAAGCAUAUCAAUAAGCGGAGGAAAAGAAACUAACAAGGAUUCCCCUAGUAACUGCGAGUGAAGCGGGAAAAGCUCAAAUUUAAAAUCUGGCGGUCUUUGGCCGUCCGAGUUGUAGUCUGGAGAAGUGCUUUCCGCGCUGGACCGUGUAUAAGUCUCUUGGAACAGAGCGUCGUAGAGGGUGAGAAUCCCGUCUUUGACACGGACUACCAGUGCUUUGUGAUGCGCUCUCAAAGAGUCGAGUUGUUUGGGAAUGCAGCUCAAAAUGGGUGGUGAAUUCCAUCUAAAGCUAAAUAUUGGCGAGAGACCGAUAGCGAACAAGUACCGUGAGGGAAAGAUGAAAAGCACUUUGGAAAGAGAGUUAAACAGUACGUGAAAUUGCUGAAAGGGAAACGCUUGAAGUCAGUCGCGUCGUUCGGAACUCAGCCUUGCUUUUGCUUGGUGCACUUUCCGGAUGACGGGUCAGCAUCGAUUUUGACCGUCGGAUAAGGGCUGGAGUAAUGUGGCACCUGCGGGUGUGUUAUAGACUCUGGUCGCAUACGGCGGUUGGGAUCGAGGAACGCAGCGCGCCGCAAGGCAGGGGUUCGCCCACUUUCGCGCUUAGGAUGCUGGCAUAAUGGCUUUAAGCGACCCGUCUUGAAACACGGACCAAGGAGUCUAACAUACCUGCGAGUGUUUGGGUGGAAAACCCGAGCGCGUAAUGAAAGUGAAAGUUGAGACCCCUGUCGUGGGGGGCAUCGACGCCCGGACCUGACGUUCUCUGACGGAUCCGCGGUAGAGCAUGUGUGUUGGGACCCGAAAGAUGGUGAACUAUGCCUGAAUAGGGUGAAGCCAGAGGAAACUCUGGUGGAGGCUCGUAGCGAUUCUGACGUGCAAAUCGAUCGUCAAAUUUGGGUAUAGGGGCGAAAGACUAAUCGAUCCAUGCAAUUGU